rnacentral:rRNA from 1 species
GUGAGGAAUAUUGGUCAAUGGGCGGGAGCCUGAACCAGCCAAGUCGCGUGAAGGAAGAAGGAUCUAUGGUUCGUAAACUUCUUUUGCAGGGGAAUAAAGUGCAGGACGUGUCCUGUUUUGUAUGUACCCUGAGAAUAAGGAUCGGCUAACUCCGUGCCAGCAGCCGCGGUAAUACGGAGGAUCCGAGCGUUAUCCGGAUCUAUUGGGUUUAAAGGGUGCGUAGGUGGUUUGAUAAGUCAGCGGUGAAAGUUUGCAGCUUAACUGUAAAAAUGCCGUUGAAACUGUCGGACUUGAGUGUAAAUGAGGUAGGCGGAAUGCGUGGUGUAGCGGUGAAAUGCAUAGAUAUCACGCAGAACUCCGAUUGCGAAGGCAGCUUACUAAGCUACAACUGACACUGAAGCACGAAAGCGUGGGGAUCAAACAGGAUUAGAAACCCCGGUAGUCC